UGCAAGUCGAACGAUGAACCUCACUUGUGGGGGGAUUAGUGGCGAACGGGUGAGUAACACGUGAGUAACCUGCCCUUGACUCUGGGAUAAGCCUGGGAAACCGGGUCUAAUACUGGAUACGACCUUCUGGCGCAUGCCAUGUUGGUGGAAAGCUUUUGUGGUUUUGGAUGGACUCGCGGCCUAUCAGCUUGUUGGUGGGGUAAUGGCCUACCAAGGCGACGACGGGUAGCCGGCCUGAGAGGGUGACCGGCCACACUGGGACUGAGACACGGCCCAGACUCCUACGGGAGGCAGCAGUGGGGAAUAUUGCACAAUGGGCGCAAGCCUGAUGCAGCGACGCCGCGUGAGGGAUGAAGGCCUUCGGGUUGUAAACCUCUUUCAGUAGGGAAGAAGUUGGCCUUUCGGGGUUGGUGACGGUACCUGCAGAAGAAGCGCCGGCUAACUACGUGCCAGCAGCCGCGGUAAUACGUAGGGCGCAAGCGUUAUCCGGAAUUAUUGGGCGUAAAGAGCUCGUAGGCGGUUUGUCGCGUCUGCCGUGAAAGUCCGGGGCUUAACUCCGGAUCUGCGGUGGGUACGGGCAGACUAGAGUGCAGUAGGGGAGACUGGAAUUCCUGGUGUAGCGGUGAAAUGCGCAGAUAUCAGGAGGAACACCGAUGGCGAAGGCAGGUCUCUGGGCUGUAACUGACGCUGAGGAGCGAAAGCAUGGGGAGCGAACAGGAUUAGAUACCCUGGUAGUCCAUGCCGUAAACGUUGGGCACUAGGUGUG
rnacentral:rRNA from 1 species